CUAAAUGUUGGUUCCUGCGUCAAAUCAAUUAGUCUAAUUUAAGUUUUUUUUUUGAGUUAAUUAAUGUGUUGUAUGCUCAACAUGGGAACUAGUAGUCAACUUGCAUCUAUUAGAAUUAGUAUAGCCUAAUAGUGAAUCUACCUGCUUCUGAAACUCUUGUGGUUAUAGCUGGUUUUGGACAUGCUGAUAUAGGGAACUUAGUAAAAUGGUG
rnacentral:lncRNA from 1 species